rnacentral:rRNA from 1 species
AGCGAACGCUGGCGGCAGGCCUAACACAUGCAAGUCGAGCGCCCGUAGCAAUACGGGAGCGGCAGACGGGUGAGUAACGCGUGGGAACAUACCCUUCGGUUCGGAAUAACUCAGGGAAACUUGAGCUAAUACCGGAUACGUCCGUGAGGAGAAAGAUUUAUCGCCGAAGGAUUGGCCCGCGUAAGAUUAGCUAGUUGGUGAGGUAACGGCUCACCAAGGCUAUGAUCUUUAGCUGCUGAGAGGAAGAUCAGCCAC